AUAAGCCACCGAAAGGUGGUCUAAUACCUUAUAGUAUCCAUCUCGUAUGGAUUAAAGCUUUAUGCGCUUUGGGAGGGGCCUGCGUUUGAUUAGCUAGUUGGUGAGGUAAAAAGCACACCAAGGCGACGAUCAAUAGCUGGUUUGAGAGGAUGACCAGCCACACUGGGACUGAGAUACGGCCCAGGCUCCUACGGGAGGCAGCAGUAAGGAAUCUUCCACAAUGGGGCAACCCUGAUGGAGCAAUACCGCGUGCAGGAUGAAGCGUUUCGGCGUGUAAACUGCUUUUAUCACCGAAGAUUAUGACUGUAGGUGAAGAAUAAGGACCGGCUAACUACGUG
rnacentral:rRNA from 1 species